AUGGUCGUGGACACAAUGAGCAGUACCACGGUAGGGAGAGGGAGAGAGUAUACCUUCCAUGGCAUCGUCCAUGACUUGCUCCACGAACUCGACUUGCUCCAUGGAGUCACCGUACAUCGAGUUCGUGCGUGUAGCUUCAAAACCAAGGGAAAAAGGUUACAGGUGUCUCAUGCAUCUCUAGAACAGUGCAAAAGAAGUAAACUUCAUCAAGAUCAAUUCGUACUUAAUAAAAGAAGAGCAACCUAUAUUCCUCAUGUUCUAUGUGUACUAGUUACUACCUUGGCAACUUUACAUCUGGCUCAAUGA
rnacentral:rRNA from 1 species